CUCAGUUCGGACUGGAGUCUGCAACCCGACUCCACGAAGCUGGAUUCGCUAGUAAUCGCGCAUCAGCCACGGCGCGGUGAAUACGUUCCCGGGCCUUGUACACACCGCCCGUCAAGCCAUGGGAGGCCGGGGGGUACCUGAAGUGCGUAACCGUGAGGAGCGCCCUAGGGUAAAACUGGUGACUGGGGCUAAGUCGUAACAAGGUAAC
rnacentral:rRNA from 1 species